GAAGUGCGAACCAAGCUGCGGCGAUAGCCGCGUGAGACUUGGAGCGGGCGAUUGUAAGGUCGUCCUGCG
rnacentral:ncRNA from 1 species